rnacentral:lncRNA from 1 species
GUUUAAUGAAUUAUCAACUUCCCCUUUAUAUAUUAAGGAAGUUUUCUCUAAAUACAAUUCUAAAAAAGUAAAAUCAUCCUUUUCCAUAUUCACCAAUCUACCGCUGAUACGCGCCAAGAUUCACACAGUAAUAUCCGAUUGGUCACGAAUAUCAUGGCCCUUUAUUAAUCGUGUGCGGAUAUUUGGCAAUGCUUCCGGAAGUCUCGUUAUUCCAAUUAGGUCGGGGGCAUGAUUUCGAUGGCUCCGAGGGUAGGUGUUUUGUUCGGGCUUUGAUAUGGGCGGGUCUCAGCUUUGAUUUUGGCACAAUUAUGUCCUCUCUUAGUUCGCCCCACCGGGAAAUCAGAGAGUUCAAUACCUCCGGUCUUACCCAUAUACAGAUGUCUCUUGUUAUGGAAGGAGAGUUCUGAAGUAACGGUUAAGUUGUCUCUAUAUACCUAUAAGUCAGGGGUUUGAGCUGUAAAAAGAGCCAUUAAUGAUUGUAUUAGGGUAAGCUGUCUACAUCAUACCCUUUAGGGUGCGACCUUUUUCCGGACCUUGCAUAAAUACAAAAUACUUUAUGUAUCGAGCUACUUUUAUUUUGUUAUAUCUUGUUAUUUGUUUUCUUUAAAAUUACAUAUCCUGAUGUUGC